rnacentral:rRNA from 1 species
UACCAGCACCCCGAGUGGUCGGGACGAUUAUUGGGCCUAAAGCAUCCGUAGCCGGUUCUACAAGUCUUCCGUUAAAUCCACCUGCUUAACAGAUGGGCUGCGGAGGAUACUAUAGAGCUAGGAGGCGGGAGAGGCAAGCGGUACUUAGUGGGUAGGGGUAAAAUCCGUUGAUCCAGUGAAGACCACCAGUGGCGAAGGCGGCUUGCCAGAACGCGCUCGACGGUGAGGGAUGAAAGCUGGGGGAGCAAACCGG